rnacentral:rRNA from 1 species
UAACGACUCUCGGCAACGGAUAUCUCGGCUCUCGCAUCGAUGAAGAACGUAGCGAACUGCGAUACUUGGUGUGAAUUGCAGAAUCCCGUGAACCAUCGAGUCUUUGAACGCAAGUUGCGCCCGAAGCUUCGGCUGAGGGCACGUUUGCCUGGGUGUCACACAUGGCGUUGCCCCUAACCCCUCGCCUUGAAUUGGGCGGGCGGGACUUGGGUGCGUAUGUUGGCCUCCCGAGAUGACCUUAUCCCGGUUGGCCCAAAAUCGAGCGUUGGAGCGAUUAGCACCACGACAUUCGGUGGUUGAUGAGACCCCAAUGAUCAAUGUCGUGCGUGUCGCUCAUGCACAUGCUCCACGAAUCUACCUUUCACCAACGCGACCCCAGGUCAAGCGGGGCUACCCGCUGAGUUUAAGCAUAUCAAUAAGCGGAGGAAAAGAAACUAACAAGGAUUCCCCUAGUAACGGCGAGCGAACCGGGAAGAGCCC